rnacentral:rRNA from 1 species
CAGCCGCCGCGGUAAUACGUAGGUGGCAAGCGUUGUCCGGAAUUAUUGGGCGUAAAGGGCUCGCAGGCGGUUUCUUAAGUCUGACGUGAAAGCCCCCGGCUCAACCGGGGAGGGUCAUUGGAAACUGGGAAACUUGAGUGCGGAAGAGGAGAGUGGAAUUCCACGUGUAGCGGUGAAAUGCGUAGAGAUGUGGAGGAACACCAGUGGCGAAGGCGACUCUCUGGUCUGUAACUGACGCUGAGGAGCGAAAGCGUGGGGAGCGAACAGGAUUAGAUACCCCCGUAGUCCCUGUCUCUUAUAC